rnacentral:rRNA from 1 species
AGCGUAGGCGGGAUGCCAAGUCAGCUGUGAAAACUAUGGGCUUAACCCGUAGACUGCAGUUGAAACUGGUAUUCUUGAGUGAAGUAGAGGUUGGCGGAAUUCCGAGUGUAGCGGUGAAAUGCGUAGAUAUUCGGAGGAACACCGGUGGCGAAGGCGGCCAACUGGGCUUUAACUGACGCUGAGGCUCGAAAGUGUGGGGAGCAAACA